CGCGCAGGCGGCUUUGUUUGUCAGGCGUGAAAGCCCCGGGCUUAACCUGGGAACUGCGCUUGAGACGGCGAGGCUAGAGAUCGGGAGAGGAGAGUGGAAUUCCCAGUGUAGAGGUGAAAUUCGUAGAUAUUGGGAAGAACACCGGUGGCGAAGGCGGCUCUCUGGACCGAUACUGACGCUGAGGCGCGAAAGCGUGGGGAGCAAACAGGAUUAGAUACCCUGGUAGUCCACGCUGUAAACGAUGUGUGCUAGACGUUGGGGAGCCUAGCUCUUCGGUGUCGCAGCUAACGCUUUAAGCACACCGCCUGGGGAGUACGGCCGCAAGGUUAAA
rnacentral:rRNA from 1 species